rnacentral:lncRNA from 1 species
UUCAGCUGUGUGAUGAGGAGGAUGGGCAAGUCGUUGGUUAUCUGUCACUGUGUAAUGAAUUAGCCCUAAAUGUAGUGGCUCAAAACAAUAAUUGACUUAAGAAUCUGCAGCUUGAGUAGGGCUUAAUGGGGAGGCUUGUUACUGCUGAAUCACCAUCAGUCGGGGCUGCUUUAGUGGGACAAGGAUUUCCACUUUAGAGAUGGCUACUCACAUGGGUGGCAAGUCAUUGCUGGCUGAGGGCUGGGAGCCUUCUUUUCUUUCUAUCUGGGCCCCAACACAGGCUGCUUGAGUUGCUUCACAGCGUGGUUGCUUGGCUCCAAGAGUGAGCAUCGCAGAGAACCAGACACAGCUGCAUUGACUUUGAGGACCCCAGCCGCAUGCACUGUCACUUUGGCCACAUUCUAUUUGUGGAGUCAGUCACAGAGGCUGAUCUAUGUACAAGGAGAAGGAAUGUAGACCUCAGUUUAUGAUGGGAAAGGUAUCAAAAUCAGAUUGUCAGAAGAGCAAGUGGGAUGGAAGGCAUUGUUGUGACCAUUUUUGGAAAAUACAACCUGCCACUGAGGCUGUCAGAGAGAGUGCAAAGGAGAGAGGAGGUUAUAAAAUAUCUUCCCAGGCUUUGGCUUCAACAUCUCUGAUCUACCGUGAUUCCUAUGGCUUGCUGAGCUGAUGCAGGGAAAUCUCAUGAGAAAGAGCUUUACAAUGGUUCCUGCAUGCUUAUGAGCCCUCUGAAGUUGAUCCUGGGCAGAAAGAAGCCUCAGAGUUACGAAAGAAUAGCAGAAAUACAUCUCGGGAUGGGGGAGAGAGCUGUUAUCUGGAAAGUCCUUGUGCAAAUGAGACCUGAACAUUCCUUUCCCACUGUGGGUGGGUUACAACUUGAAGGAAGCCGUUCACCCAGCCAUCUAAUUUCCCAGAGAUCUUGAUUGCGAAGGACCGUUUGCAGAUCCCAUCGGAGGGGCCCAGGGAUGGAAUAAAGGCAAUUCCAUUGCUCUGUGCAAAUGACAUUUACAACAAUGUCCUUAAAUCAGAGACCUGAAAUGCCUGUCUUAGAUUAUUCAGGCUGAUACUUUUGCAAUCAACCGCAAAAUGAUGGCAAGUCUUCCAGUUGCUCACAGAAAGAAGACUCACGCCUUCCUGCCUCCUGUCUUUGUCUCACACGUGACAUCCAUUUUGUCAGGAAAUAGUGUUGGCUCCACCUUCAGGACGUAUCCAGGCCUCAACACUUCUCACUACCUUCUCUGCUACCCUCCUGGGGUGAGCCAUCCACAUCCUGGAUUACGUCAAUAACUUUCUAACUGCUUCUUGGCCUGCCCCUCCAGCCCAAUCAAUUUUCAACAUGGUAGCCAAAGUGAUUCAUGUAAUAUCUAAGCUAGAUAACGCCAGUCUUUAAAAACCCUGCCAAUACUCCAUUUCAUUCACAGUGAAAGCCAGUGUCUUUAUGAGGAUCUACAUGGUCCAGCCUCAGUGACUGCUCAGACCUCAUCCCCUGAGGCCCUGAUGCUCAGUGGCUCCACCCCACCCCUCCCCCUCCAGCCCCUCCAGCCCCUCCAGCACCCAGACAGCCUCCGACUGUUCUCUGCAGUGCCUGCUUCCUCUCCUUUCCUAUGGUUAUCUACAUACCUACCUUCCUCAGCUCCUUCCAGUCUUUACUCAGUUCUCACAAGCUCAAUAUGACCUACUUAGAGCACCCUGUUUUAAUUGCAACCUGCGCCCACUCUCCCCACCACCCUCCUUCAGCAGACAUUCCCCAUCCAUAGUAAGCUUUCUUGACGUUUUUUUAACCCUAGAAAUCAUCACCUUCCAGCAUACUAUUUUUUCAUUUAUUUACUAUGCUUGUGUUUGUCUUCCCUCAAUCCUUCCCUCCCCUACACACAUUAGAAUGUAAGGUUCGUGUGGGUAGGAUUUUUAUUUGUUUUGUCCACUGUUGGAUCACAGGUCCAUUGAAAAGGGUCUGGUAAGUGGUGGCACUCUCCAAGUUUGUUGAAUGAAUGAAUGAACGCAGCAAUUCCAUGCCUUCUCAAUACAGCAGAUCACUUUGAAAUCCAGGGAGAUUCAGAGUUUUAAUUUGAAAAGGGGUGGUCAGUGGAUUCUUAACCCACUUGUUGGUUUUACUCAGCUCUGGAGUGUGUUUUGUCAUAUUCACGUAGAAUUUAGAUGUAAUUUUAAAAAUGGCAUCACUGGGGGCCCUCCCAGUCGUGCAGUGGUUAAGUUUGUGCACUCUGCUCGGGGACCUGGGUUUCACAGGUUUGGAUCCUGGGCGCAAACCUAGCACCGCUCGUCAAGGGACACUGUGGCGGCAUGCCACAUGAAAUACAGGAAGAUCGGCACAGAUGUUAGCUCAGGGCCAGUCUUCCUUACACACACACACACACACACACACACGCACAACAUCAUCAGGAUUUUUCCCCCUCUGAGAAAAAGAGAUACUCAAAUAUUCAGGGGACAGUCAUACUCUUGGUGAUCAAACAACUUGCACCACACUUUGGUUCUCUUAGGAAUUCCUGGAUCUGUCAUUCUCCACAUUAAACAAGCUAUUUCAGCCCUGACGUGCUCGGUGCAGGGUAUUUGAGAUAACUUGACUCUAUCGCUGAGAUAUGCCAGCCGAGUCAGCCACCCGAAGUCAUAGCAAUCGUCUUCUCUGGCAUUAUCGGUGCCAUGAAAAAACUGCUUUUAUCACAUCUUUCAUUUUGAAGACUUGUGUGUGCAUCUUUCUCAUUGGAAAACAGAAUUGUGUAUCUUGCCCAUUUCUUCAUGUAGAACACUAAAAGGGUGUGCACUCGGGUUGAAAUGAUCAAAUCCAUAUUUUCUUCAAAAAAGAAUCAAGAUCAGGAAAUAAAAUUUACCCCAUCUCGCCUCUAAGAAUACAGCAAAAUGAGGAUUGGUGUUUAAAUGCAAAUUCUUGCCUGAUCCAACACACCGAGGGGGUGUUCCAGUGGGCAUUUAAAACAAAGCUUUUUAGUUUGUUUAGGUUUUGAUGCUGCCAAGAGUGCCUUUAAUUAGUUUUUAACUUAUUAGCAAAAGGAAGAUGAUUGAUUUUGAUAGCUGUCCUCUAAACCAGAACCUGCUUUAGCUCUUUUAACGUUUUUGGAGUAAAGAAAGAGAAAAAUAUGUUGGUGAUGGCUUUGCAAUGUAAAUGAAAGGAGAGACAAAAAGGAACCAGCCCUCCUGAACUCAUAUUCUGCUUUUUCUGUGAAAACGUUUCUGUAAUUCCUAGCAAUUCUCUCAAGACUGGAGGAUAAAGAUUGCAUUGUCGAUGUAAUAGUCUCAAUUAGUAAAAUUGACAAGAAAAUACUUAUCUCUUUAUGUUGAGUGACAGGAAAACACAACUUAGGGAAUUUGUCACUUCUGAUUGAACAGCAUCACAUUUUAGUCUUACGUAUUUGUCUCAACCUGAUUAGUUCACAGGCGGGUUUUUGUUUAGCUUCCUGGAUCAUGAAUAUUCUGAAUUCUUAGCUUUUCUUAUCAGCAAAGAAAAGCAAUUUAUAACAUGGGGCCUG